GAGCAGCAAGCUGCUUCGAGAAAGGCGAUGCAGAGCAAGUCAUUUUGGCAUAACUGCUGCAGUCCAUUCCCCCAAGCGUGUCAGCAGGACUGCCCGUCAGGGCGUGGUAGUGGAAAUGCCAACCUUGCUGAAGAGCGCUGGAAAAGAAAGCCUUGAGGUCUCCUGGGCUGUUAGAAGAUUUGGGCAGAUCACUGCCUGGAACAAGGCAAAUGAGUCCAGAGUUCGUUGCCUUCCAGAGCCCAAAUGAACUCAUCUGAAAAAUGGGAAGCAGAACAAUUUGGGAAGUGGGGAAGUGGGACAACAGCAAGGUCAGCUGUGGCAGAAUCAGGACCAGCCUCUUGUCAUCAUCUGCAAAUAGCUCACAUCACAGAUGAUCAUCUUCUCCACAUGAAGAGAAAGCAUUGCUACAUUUGGAAGAUUAAGAAUUCCAGCUCAUUAUCCAAGACACCUAUUGAAUUGCCUACGUUUCCUUUGCCUUCGUUACUGGUGGAUUAUUUUUAUUAUUAUUUGAUGAAGUGAAAAGAAUUCCAACCUGGCCUGGAACCCCUCCAGGGAUGGAGGAGCCACCACUGCUCUGGGCAAAAUCAUUUAAGGUUGGAAAAGGUCUCUGAGAUCAUCAAGUCCACCCGUCAGGUGACAGCGCCAUGCCUGCAUUGCUCACAUUUGGCCCUCACUCUGCAUCAACACUCUGGAAUAAACAUCACACUGAAUGGGAAAAAAAUCAAGUCUUUACAUUGCUCAUCUGUAUAAACUAAUGUUCCACCAAAAAAAACAGUGAUCCUGAAAAAACAAUGCUGAAAUCAUACACUUUUAAGAGCACGUACACGUGAAAUGAGCCUGGAAGAAUAUCUGUGCGCGUUGUGUUCAUCAGAUCAAACUUUGACCUUCUGCAGUAUCUGCCCUCAAGCACAGCCAACAGAAAUGGUUCCUGCACCUCCCUGGGCAGCCUGAGAACCCUUUCCAUGAAGAAAUUUGUCCUGAUGCCCAAUCUGAACCUGCCCUGGUGCAACGUGAGGCCAUUUUCUCUCAUCCCAUGACCUGUCGCUUGGGAGCAGAGCCCAGCGCCCGCCUCACCACAACCUCCUUUCCGGCAGUUGUAGACAGCGAUGAGGUCUCCCCUCAGGCUCCUCUUCUCCAGGAUAAACAAGGAUAUUGCUUGAGGCUGUGAAACGGGAGGUUUAUUUGGAGGAACUGCCAGUCUGCUAUCGCUGUGGAACUCCACAUCUGUCCAAGCAUUUAUAAAGCUGUUUCCAGACCUCAGAGGAAGAUUGCAACACGCCUCGCUCACUGAAACAGAACAAACACGUCCUGGAAAAUUGUAUUAGAGUAGCCCAGAUGGAGAUUGUCAAAAUGUAAAUCUUGGGCGUAUUCAGGAAGGUGUCUGUCUGAUGUUGCCUCACAUGACAUUUUCAGAAGCUGAGAAGUGGUGGUUUAUGUGAAGCCACCAUAUGGUGAGCGCAAUCAACAUUUUGUUAUCAAAUUCAGAGGACAUUUCAAAUGAAUUCCCGCAGGAUUUAAUCUUGAGUUCAGUUCUAUCCGAUACUCUCUUAACAGCUUACACAACGGAAUGAAGAACGUGCCCACGCAGUUUGUGGAUGGCAUCUAGGAAAGACUGCGAGAGCUUUGAAGUUAGGAUUAAACUUCUGAGCUGGACGAAUAGCACAAGAAUCACAGUGAAGCAACCCAGCCACGACAAGGGCUGUGGCGUGAUUUUAAGAAGGAAACAUAGGAGUGCCAGAUGGAAAACUGGAUUUUCCUGGUGCAGAGCAGUAUGGGGUCAGGAUGAACCCCGCAGUUGGCAAGAGAGAUGAUGCAGAACACACACACGGGGCGUUACAAUUCCACGUGUAGGACCUGGUGGCUUGGGAAAGAUCCCAGGGGAUCAGGAAGGCUGCUCCCCUUCCCCAAAGCAGGGCAAGCCUGAGCUGGAGCUGCAAGACCACUCAUUAAUGCAGAGUAUCAUGGUCUCGUUGUGUAAUUUAUUCUUCCUCCUUUCUCCCCUCAGGCAAAACUCACAGUAUACAAAUCUAAUUAAAUCAGAAAUAAUUAAUAUUUCCUGUUAUAUUUUGAAACCUCUUGGAUAACUUUUGGAAGUUCAUCUUCCAUCUCUCUGAAGGUUAUCCAGUUGGCAACCCUUGGUCCUGGGGUGCAUCAUUGCUGUGAGGGAGUCCCACAUGCGCUGGGGGUUUGAUCCCUGUGGGUCCUACAUCUCUGACCUCCAAGCCUCCUUCCCCGCCCCAAACACAGGUUGUCAACUCUUCAGGCUGGCAGAAGAGCAGCUGGAAAGCUGCCCGGCAGAGAAGGACCCGGGGGUGCUGGUCAACGGCAGCCGGACAUGAGCCAGCAGUGGCCCAGGUGGGCAAGAAGGCCAACAGCUCCUGGCUUGGAUCAGCCAUGGGGUGGCCAGUGGGAGCAGCGAAGGAUCGACCCCUGGACCCGCC